rnacentral:rRNA from 1 species
AAUGAACGUUGGCGGCGUGGAUUAGGCAUGCAAGUCGAGCGCGAACCCCGCAAGGGGUGAAAGCGGCGAAAGGGAGAGUAACGCGUGGGUAUCUACCCUCGGGACUGGGAUAGCUGCGGGAAACUGCAGGUAAUACCAGAUGACGUCCCCGGACCAAAGGUGUGAUUCCGCCUGAGGAUGAGCCCGCGUCCUAUUAGCUAGUUGGUGGGGUAAUGGCCUACCAAGGCAAUGAUGGGUACUGGGUGUGAGAGCACGACCCAGCUCACUGGGACUGAGGCACCGCCCAGACACCUACGGGUGGCUGCAUACUCGAAUCUUCGGCAAUGGGCGAAAGCCUGACCGAGCGACGCCGCGUGUGGGAUGAAGGCCUUCGGGUUGUGAACCUCUGUCAGAGGGUAGGAAUGGGCGGAGGGUAAUCUCUUCGUUUUGACCUAUCCUCAGAGGAAGUACGGGCUAAGUUCGUGCCAGCCGCCGCCGUAACAC